GACGAACGCUGGCGGCGUGCUUAACACAUGCAAGUCGAACGGUAAGGCCCUUCGGGGUACACGAGUGGCGAACGGGUGAGUAACACGUGGGUGAUCUGCCCUGCGCUUCGGGAUAAGCCUGGGAAACUGGGUCUAAUACCGGAUAGGACCACUGCCUGCAUGGGUGGUGGUGGAAAGCUUUUGCGGUGUGGGAUGGGCCCGUGGCCUAUCAGCUUGUUGGGGGGGUGAUGGCCUACCAAGGCGACGACGGGUAGCCGGCCUGGGAGGGUGACCGGCCCCACUGGGACUGAGAUACGGCCCAGACUCCUACGGGAGGCAGCAGUGGGGAAUAUUGCACAAUGGGCGCAAGCCUGAUGCGGCGACGCCGCGUGAGGGAUGACGGCCUUCGGGUUGUAAACCUCUUUCAGCACCGACGAAGCGCAAGUGACGGUAGGUGCAGAAGAAGGACCGGCCAACUACGUGCCAGCAGCCGCCGCCG
rnacentral:rRNA from 1 species